GAUGAACGCUGGCGGCGUGCCUAACACAUGCAAGUCGAGCGAUCUUCUUCGGAGGAGAGCGGCGGACGGGUGAGUAACGCGUGGGUAACCUGCCCUGUACACACGGAUAACAUACCGAAAGGUAUGCUAAUACGAGAUAAUAUACUUUUAUCGCAUGGUAGAAGUAUCAAAGCUCCGGCGGUACAGGAUGGACCCGCGUCUGAUUAGCUAGUUGGUAAGGUAACGGCUUACCAAGGCGACGACCAGUAGCCGACCUGAGAGGGUGAUCGGCCACAUUGGAACUGAGACACGAUCCAAACUCCUACGGGAGGCAGCAGUGGGGAAUAUGGCACAAUGGGCUAAAGCCUGAUGCAGCAACGCCGCGUGAGCGAUGAAGGCCUUCGGGUCGUAAAGCUCUGUCCUCAAGGAAGAUAAUGACGGUACUUGAGGAGGAAGCCCCGGCUAACUACGUGCCAGCAGCCGCGGUAA
rnacentral:rRNA from 1 species